CAGUGAUUCGCCCGCAGCGUAAUAAUUUUCACGGCCUCGAGGCUUGGCCACGUGUGCAGUUGCACGGUACAUCUGACGAGAUUUAAUCAGCGUACAACGCCACGUAAAUAACUUAUCGCUGGUAACAAUAAUGAAUUUUCGACAGUUUCAUCGUCCGUGGAUAGCAACGUCGAUCGAACAUAGUGGACACGGAUGAGCUUCCACCAUCAAAUCGAGAUUACUCUGUUUCGUUCUCGUACUGCAAUUUCGAAUUUGAUAGUUAGCUGUGUAAUUGGGUUUUAACGUACGAAUGUACUGCAUACAAGUACCUGUAAUCACCAUCGGUUUAAAAGUUAUUGUACAAUUAUUGAGAUUUAAUUUUUAAAAAAUAGUUAUCGAUAGAGCUAUCUUUCUGGUACUCUGUACAUUGAAAUUACUGUACUUCCAAAUUUUUAUAUUUUCCGACUUCUACAAACAAAUUACUUGUACAAACAAACGUCUUGUUACGAUUAUACUCCUUGCUUGAAAAUUCGCGUAUUUCAAAUUCUUGCAAUUUUACAGUUUCUGUUUGGUUGGCAACCAAGUGAUUGCGGAUUUUGUCAUUAGGUGGCAUUGAGAAAAUCCGCAAUCACUUAGUUGCCAGCUUAGUUAACCAAUAUAUUCCAAAGAACAACGAUAGUGUUCCUCGCCUUUUACGUAGGCGUAUUUUCGCUUCGACGUUACAAAACUUCUCCAACGUCCCAAUUUACCAGGCGACCAACUUUCCCCCUUUUUUAAACCUAUCAUCUAUAUAAAUAAGGUUCUUUGUAACAAAGCUUCCGUCAACCUUGCCAAUAAUCCAGCACGACGUUCAAAUUUUUUACAAAUUUCUUCCCACCUCCUCGCUUACCUCUAAAAUCAAUUUUUUCUCUCAGACAACCCAUCGCAGACUGCGUAAUCGCUGAAACGAAAGAACGCGAUCGAUCUACUCUAAAUAAUAGCCCAAACAGUAGCGAAUCCUCUGCUAUAUCCGAAAACAAUCUAAGAAACGCAGACAAUUUAGUGAGGGGGAACCAACUGGAGAGUAAACUUCAGACGAUUGUUCGUUUCGUAUAGAGGAGAGUGCAAUAGAUGAAGGGAAUAAAAAUCGAAACGCAAGUAUCCAAAUAGUCGGGGAACGGGACAAAAGUAUCCAUUAGCGGACUACAGAAGCCCUUGGUGGGAGCGGGGGAACAAAAGGGCGAAGGGGAUGGCGAGGCAGUGUAACCGCAGCAGUUGCAGGGCUAAAAGCAACAGGCAGCCAAUCAAUAAUCGCCCUUUUGCCUGGGCUGCGACUUUACCAACUUUGCAACGCGACAUUGUACCUACGAUGAUUGCCACCGUUCGAGCAAUCCAUGGCGUUCUCGAGAAUUUUUAAAGGAACUGGAAUAUUUCUGAUGAAGUUGAACGACGAGUUUUUAAGGGAACAACGAGGGAAAAAUUUAAAAUUUGAAAGAAUUUUUGGUAAUUGAUCGAAGAAGAGGGAAUAGUGCACGGUGAACGACGAUUUUUAUUAAGACAGUGGUAGGGAAGAUUGUUCAAGUUGGGAGAAUUUGUUGGAAUUUGUUUGGAACAGGUUCUCACAGUUGCAGUGGCAAGGGCAAAAGGAACGAGCGAUUAAGAAAGUUGGUUAAACUGAGCCAUGAGGGACGCAGGGUACGGCGAAUUGCAGUUGCACCGUUUCGACUAAAACGCGAUUGGGACUCGAUGACACGGCCGGCGUGCUAUCGAUUUUAGGUUAUGUCCAAUGAAACGCGUCCAAUAUAAAUUCUCACGAUAGCGCACCACUCGAAACAGCCUCCGUGACGUUACUAGUCAACUGGCAGAUAUUUAUAGGGAAACAACUAUGAGAAGAAGUUGAGAAUGUUGUGGCUUGAUAUAAGCAGCGAAAUAUAAGCAGAAAAACAAAUUUUAAUAUAUAACAAGGUAAAAACGUUACGACUUAUUUCAUGUUUUUGUUAGAACCAUCAAAUAGGUUAAGAUCAUUUAUGUCUUUAAAAUGAUUCAUAAAAUCGGUAAUUUCGUAAAUUUUAUUUGAAUAAAUUAUUGCUAUAUAUAACAAAUAACGAAUAAAGGAGGCACGUAGUCAAGAUUUCAUUGAAUCUACAGGAUUUUAUAAUAAUUUACCGUUGCGUUCAUAAAUGGGUCAAAUUUUGUAAUUGGUGAAUAAAUCAAAUAAAAUCCUUAAGCACAAAUAA